ensembl:snRNA U6 U6 spliceosomal RNA
GUGCUCGCUUCAGCAGCACAUCUACUAAAGUUGGAACGACAGAGAGAAGAUUAGCAUGGCCCCUGCACAAGGAUGACAUGCAAAUGCAUGAAGAGCUCCAUAUUUUU